UUGGAAGCAAUUUUAUGUGGUCCAAAACAAAUAUGUAUUUGGUUAGUGAAGACAGAAUUUCUGUAUCCACCUUAUCUAUGAUUACUGAUCCUGGUAAUCAAAUAGUGGUACCGGAAGUUGAAGGAUGAAGAGUAUUUCACACACAACUUUUUGAAAGGCCAAAUUGUCGGUAUAGUGAAUGAUCCAUCAGAAAAGAAUGAAGAUACCGAUGUUGGGAAAGAUGAAGAACAGGACAAACAGGAGAAAGCCGCCACACCGGAGGAAUUUGGGCACUGCGGUGGUUCCCGACCCGAGGAGUCCAACUGUCAGAAGUUUAGGACCAAGCAUCAAGACGAGGACCAUAACCUCGCGCUUUCACUGGUAGAAACUGAAAGUAAUGUUUAUUUUUAUGUGAGUAUUAUUUUAUUAUUAUUAUUGUGAAUUAUUGUGAAGUGAUAAUAAAUAAAAAUAAUUUCAAGAAGUGUCUUGUAGCGGUCAGUACUAUAAAUCACUUUUAGGGCAAAACAUACUCUAAUAUGUAUUUGCCCUAAGGUAGACAACGACGCAAAUGGGCUGAGCUGAUCAUUAUACAGCGUAAAGCGUACUAGUUUUAGUUCGGGAGAGAGUCCGGGAGAGAUUUCCGCGAGACAAGGUUCAGGGAUGCUGCUUUGUAUGGAAGGGGAGAGGGAAGGCUGGAAGAUGGUUUUUCGAAACCAGAAUGAUUCGGCCAAUGACAAUCCUCAGAUUUCCGAGGACAGCCGACGAGAUUUGGGAAAUGACGUACUUCCUGUAAGUACGUUUGACUCCACUUUCCCUGAUCUGAGGAUUACUAAGCUUGCUCACUUUGUUCGUGACUGCAGAAAAUAGUGGAAGUGCGCGUGCUCGUUUCACUAAUUCCAAAGGUCAUAGUAAAACUGUAAAGUAGUAAACCAAAGGUAGCGUGUUGUGCGUGUGUGUGUUCGAGUCACAGUUACCCGUUCUCCCGCAGGCAAUUCGGAAAAGCCGCUUUAUAUGCCAAUAUAUUUCGCCGCUCAAAGAGCUCGUAUUCAACAUCCGCAGCACGAAUAGCAAAAUCACCCGUAGAGCCGGUCAUCAGCAGCAGCCAACAAAUUUGAACCAAUAGCUGGUGAGUCCGUUCCAAGCUAGUUUUUCUGUGCGUAGGGUGACGUCCGGUGAGGACGUCACGGAGUUUUUUAUAUAUUGCCUUAAGUCGGGAUGAAACGGACGGCGAGGAAAGUUCGCGUCCGAGAUAACCAUUAAAAGGUGAAUUGCAAUUACCGAGCGUCAUUGUCGACGUCGCCAUACAAUGCGCUCAAUAGAUAAAUA